GCGGGCGGGACCUCCGGGUACUCGCCCGCACUGACACCGGUACCUGAUCCGGCCGGUGCAG
rfam:Actinopolymorpha singaporensis strain DSM 22024 genome assembly, chromosome: I